ensembl:snRNA U6 U6 spliceosomal RNA
GUGCUCACUUCAGCAGCACAUUUACUAAAAUUGGAAUGAUAUAGAGUUUAGCAUGGUUCUCGUCCAAGGAUGACAUACAAAUUUGUGAAGUAUUCUAUAUUUUU